CCUACGGGUGGCAGCAGUGAGGAAUAUUGGUCAAUGGGCGAGAGCCUGAACCAGCCAAGUCGCGUGAAGGAUGACGGCCCUACGGGUUGUAAACUUCUUUUGUCAGGGAGCAAUUGGGUCCACGCGUGGGCUUAGCGAGAGUACCUGAAGAAAAAGCAUCGGCUAACUCCGUGCCAGCAGCCGCGGUAAUCUGGAGGUUGCGAGCUGUAUCCGGAUUUAUUGGGUUUAAGGGGUGCGUAGGCGGAAUAUCAAGUCAGCGGUAAAAAUUCGGGGUGCAACCUCGUCGUGCCGUUGAAACUGAUGUUCUUGAGUAGGCGAGAAGUGUGCGGAAUGCGUGGUGUAGCGGUGAAAUGCAUAGAUAUCACGAAGAACUCCGAUUGCGAAGGCAGCAUACCGGUGCCCAACUGACGCUGAAGCACGAAAGCGUGGGUAUCGAACAGGAUUAGAUACCCUAGUAGUC
rnacentral:rRNA from 1 species